rnacentral:rRNA from 1 species
UACGGAGGGUGCGAGCGUUAUCCGGAAUUACUGGGUUUAAAGGGUGCGUAGGCGGCUACGUAAGUCAGGAGUGAAAGUUUGCGGCUCAACCGUAAAAUUGCUUUUGAUACUGCAUAGCUAGAAUUAGGAUGAGGUCAGCGGAAUGUGGCAUGUAGCGGUGAAAUGCAUAGAUAUGCCAUAGAACACCAAUUGCGAAGGCAGCUGGCUAGACCUGGAUUGACGCUGAGGCACGAAAGCGUGGGGAGCGAACAGG